rnacentral:rRNA from 1 species
CGGACCUUGUACACACCGCCCGUCACACCACGAAAGCCGUCCGCACCCGAAAUUAUCUAAGCUAACCUGUAAGGGAGGCGGGUAAUGAGGUGAAGAGGGUGAUUGGGGUG